CUAUUAUGGAGAGUUUGAUCCUGGCUCAGGACGAACGCUGGCGGCGUGCCUAAUACAUGCAAGUCGAGCGGAGUUGAUGAGAAGCUUGCUUCUCUGAUGCUUAGCGGCGGACGGGUGAGUAACACGUAGGCAACCUGCCCACAAGAUCGGGAUAACAUUCGGAAACGAAUGCUAAGACCGGAUAAACAGUGCUCUCGCAUGAGAGGGCUGGGAAAGACGGAGCAAUCUGUCACUUGCGGAUGGGCCUGCGGCGCAUUAGCUAGUUGGUGAGGUAACGGCCCACCAAGGCGACGAUGCGUAG
rnacentral:rRNA from 1 species